AGUAAUCAGUUAGGCUAUUUACACAAAUUUCAUGCUUUCCUGUCUUUCCAAGAUAUUCUUGAUAUAGUCUUUGUAGAUAGUAUUUGCAGCUGGCUUUCCUUGCUCGGGCAAUGUUCCAAUAAUUUGUUUUCUGCGAACGCCUGGCGAAGCAAGUAGUCGAACAUUAAGCAAUUGACUACGCCAGGCGAAGGUACAACAGUACAGCCAAUGGAUGGGGUUUCAUCUUCUCUGCUGGCCAUGUUUUGUUUGGUUUACUAGACUUUCCAGGUGUUGGCAAUGAAGAACAGCCAGUAUAUAUUGUUUCAUCUUCACAGCUAGUUGUGCUUUGUUCUCUUCACUUUGACAGUCUGGAUUUCCCUGUA